rnacentral:rRNA from 1 species
UGAACGCUGGCGGCGUGCUUUACACAUGCAAGUUGAAUGGGAACCCAUUCGUUUCCACUUCGGUGGAAAGGGAUGGGGGAGAAUAGCGAACGAGUGAGUAACACGUAGCGACCUACCCUGUAGCGGGGGAUAACCACUGGAAACGGUGGCUAAUACCGCAUAGACUCGAAAGAGGAAAGUGCCCACGGGCAUACUACAGGAGGGGGCUGCGGGCCAUCAGGUAGUUGGUGAGGUAGAGGCUCACCAAGCCAACGACGGCUAUCUGACGUGAGAGCGUGAUCAGACACGAGGACACUGAGACACGGGUCCUACUCCUACGGGAGGCAGCAGUGGGGAAUCCUGGACAAUGGGGGCAACCCUGAUCCAGCGACGCCGCGUGAACGACGACGUCCUUCGGGAUGUAAAGUUCUUUUUACAGGGGAGAAAGUACACCUCAGGGAAUGGGGGAGUAUUGACGGUACCCGUAGAAUAAGCCCCGGCUAACUACGUGCCAGCAGCCGCGGUAAGACGUAGGGGGCAAGCGUUACCCGGAAUCACUGGGCGUAAAGGGGGCGUAGGCGGUCUAAAGGGUCAUAUGUUAAAAGAUACGGCUUAACCGUAGAGAUGCGUAUGAAACCGUUAGACUUGAGGGUAGCAGAGGAAAAGGGAAUUACCACUGUAGGGGUGAAAUCCGUAGAGAGUGGUAAGAAUGCCGGUGGCGAAGGCGCUUUUCUGGGUUACACCUGACGCUGAGGCCCGAAAGCCAGGGGAGCGAACCGGAUUAGAUACCCGGGUAGUCCUGGCCGUAAACGAUGCUCACUAGGUGUAGUAGGUCGACAGGCCUGCUGUGCUGAAGCAAACGCGAUAAGUGAGCCGCCUGGGGAGUACG